rnacentral:rRNA from 1 species
UACAGAGGUCUCAAGCGUUGUUCGGAUUCAUUGGGCGUAAAGGGUGUGUAGGUGGCGCCGUAAGUCGGGUGUGAAAUUUCGGAGCUUAACUCCGAAACUGCAUUCGAUACUGCGGUGCUUGAGGACUGGAGAGGAGGCUGGAAUUCAUGGUGUAGCAGUGAAAUGCGUAGAGAUCAUGAGGAAGACCAGUGGCGAAGGCGGGUCUCUGGACAGUUCCUGACGCUGAGGCACGAAGGUCAGGGGAGCAAACGGG